UUGGCGGAGAGGAAGUUCCGGAGGACCGCAGCACGCAGACGCCAGAGCUCGGGCUCGCGCCAACGCGCCGUAAGUGCGCAGGCGCGCCGGUCGUUCUCUUUUCGGCUCUUCCUUCUCCCGGUCUCCGGACGUCAGCGGCCGUUGGGUCCUAUGUCGCGCCGGGCCCUCCGGAGGCUGAGGGGGGAACAGCGCGGCCAGGAGCCCCUCGGGCCCGGUGCCCUGCAGUUUGCCCUCCAUGAUGACGAUGAUGCGGAAGAAGAAGGUCCAAAGCGGGGAACAGGCGGCCGGCGCCCCCGGGGCGCAGGGAAGGAAGGCGUCUGCGUCAACAACCGGUUCGAGCUGAUAAACAUUGAGGACCUUGAGGAGGGACCAGUGCUGAAUGGGGAGAGACCCGAGUGUCUGCUCACAGGGAACAGAAGGAGAUCCCAGAGUGGAGGUGCAGAUGCCAAGAAAGCUGGAGAAGUGGCUGGCAAAGCAGCACCCCCAGAGCAGUCUAAUAUAAGUGGCAAACUCCGAAAGAAGAAAAAGAAACAGAAAAAUAAGAAAAACACUGCAGGAGAAAUUCUGGAAAACGGGCUGGAAGAUAUUGAUCGCAUCCUGGAGAGGAUUGAGGAUGGCGGUGGUUUAAGCCGCCCAGGCCCGCCUCCCCUGAGCUCAAAGAAGCACGUCCUGUAUGUGGAGCACAGACACUUGAAUCCAGACACAGAACUGAAAAGAUAUUUCGGUGCUCGAGCUGUCCUGGGGGAACAAAGGCCGAGGCAGCGGCAGCGUGUGUACCCCAAGUGUACGUGGUUGACGACCCCCAAGAGCACCUGGCCACGGUACACCAAACCAGGUCUGUCGAUGCGGCUGCUGGAGUCCAAGAGAGGCCUCUCCUUCUUUGCGUUUGAGCACAGUGAGGAGUACCAGCAGACACAGCACAAGUUCCUGGCCGCCGUGGAGUCCAUGGAGCCCAACAACAUCGUGGUUCUGCUCCAGACCAGCCCGUACCACGUUGACUCGCUCCUGCAGCUCAGCGACGCUUGCCGCUUUCAGGAGGAUCAGGAGAUGGCCCGAGACCUCGUAGAGAGAGCGCUCUACAGCAUGGAGUGUGCCUUUCAUCCCUUGUUCAGUCUCACCAGCGGGACCUGCCGGCUGGAUUACCGCAGACCCGAGAACAGGAGCUUCUACCUGGCCCUCUACAAGCAGAUGAGCUUCCUGGAGAAGCGCGGCUGUCCCCGCACGGCGCUGGAGUUCUGCAAGCUCAUCCUGAGCCUGGAGCCGGACGAGGACCCUCUGUGCAUGCUGCUGCUCAUCGACCACCUGGCCUUGCGAGCGCGCAACUACGACUACCUGAUCCGCCUCUUCCAGGAGUGGGAGGCUCAUCGAAACCUGUCUCAGCUCCCGAAUUUUGCCUUCUCUGUGCCGUUGGCCUAUUUUCUGCUGAGUCAGCAAGCAGACCUCCCUGAGCAGGAGCUCAGCUCUGCGAGGGAACAGGCCUCUCUCCUGAUCCGACAGGCGCUCACCAUGUUCCCUGGAGCCCUCCUCCCUUUGCUCGAGUACUGCUGCGUGCGGCCAGACGCCGCUGUCGCCACUCACAGCUUUUUCGGACCGGACGCUGAGAUAAGCCAGCCCCCUGCCCUGAGCCAGCUGGUGAGCCUGUACCUCGGAAGGUCGCACUUCCUCUGGAAGGAGCCGGCCACCAUGAGCUGGCUGGAGGAGAACGUCCGCGAGGUUCUGCGGGCGGUGGACUCCGGGGACCCUGCGGUGGAAGCAUGUGAGAGCAGGCGGAAGGUGCUGUACCAGCGUGCGCCCAGAAACAUCCACCGCCACGUGGUCCUGUCUGAGGUCAAGGAAGCCGUUGCCGCCCUCCCCCCGGAUGUGACCACGCAGUCUGUGAUGGGCUUUGACCCCCUGCCUCCUUUGGACACCAUCUACUCCUACGUCAGGCCAGAGAGGCUGAGUCCUGUCAGCCACGGAAACACAAUCGCCCUCUUCUUCCGGUCGCUGCUGCCCAACUACACCAUGGAGGGGGAGAGGCUGGAGGCUGGAGGGGCUGGGGGUCUGAACCACAACCAAGGCUUGAACAGGCUGAUGCUGGCCGUGCGAGACAUGAUGGCCAACUUUCACUUCCACGACGUGGAGGCGGCUCGUGAGGACAACCCCGAGGGGGACGGGGAGUGGGACUAAGCCCGCGUAGAUGCCGCACCCCGACGCUGUACAAUUAUGUUCCCGAUUGCUGUUCCGGUCGGAAUUGGCCGGUUCCCUGGAGUAGAAAUGCUGAUGUGUUGUCCGCCUUCCUCCUUUGUGUCUCCUAUAAAUGCAAGCAAGGAAAACUUGGCACCCUGCCUCUUCCAGCCUUAAAUACAUCCAGAUGGGGAGGUGAUGUCCAGAGCUGCAGCAGCCAUUUUGCAACCAGGAGUCGGUGACCUCCAAAAUGAAGAGCCAGUGUCCUAGGGGUAGUGAAGCAGAGAGAGGCUGGCCCCAGCCCGUGAUGAAACUGCUCACCUCUGGGCCUACUGUCCUGAGAGACUAACAGCUCAUCAGUGCUCAGCCAGGCUGGUUGGGUUUAGGUUAUUACUUGCAGUUCUUUGUUUCUAUUGGAGACAAGAAGACAGCCAGGUCUCACGUCUGAACAUCCGCUCUAAGACUCGACCUGCCACCCCGUGUCCAGGUGAGCGUGAAUCGGCUCCUCCCGGGGCUGAUAUGUUGUGCCCUCUCCCACCAAGCCAGACCCUACCUCAGGGUCUCUGGCGCGGACACUGCAGGGUGGGCGCAGAAGCCAUUCCCCUCCCUGAGUUCAAAGAACCCACUGUGACCCAGCCCUGAGCCAGGCCUUCCCGAGAUCCUUCCCCCACCCCCACCCACCCCCCCGCCGUGUCCAGAGUCAGGGGGACCGGGCCGCACGCCCCACAUGUCUGCUCAUGCGGCCGUGUCCCCUGGCUGGCCCUCGGGGGGUAACCUCUGUGAAGGAAGCAGGGCCUGGGCCCGGUGGUCAGUGACCCCUACCUCCUGCUGUGGCCACGGCUAGGCACAGGUAUCCCACCGGACUUUGCACCCCAGCCCCCACACGGAGCUCCUUGACCCAUCGAAUGCUCGCAUGUUGUCGGCCUGCGUGCGCCUGGCACUGCGCUCGGUGCUGGGGACACGACGACUGAGGGGUUCCUGCCCUUAACAGCCUCCUCACGUGUGGGUCAGGCACGUUGUCUCAUGUUGACACGUGCUCUGAGGGGACAGUUGUGUCCACCACCUGUCCCCUGGCCGUCCCUCAGUUUCCCUUAGGGGCACUGGAGGUCGGAGUUGCUAUAAGAGGCCUUGGGGAUUAUCUGUGAUUUCCUUUAGACCCUUCCCCUCACAACCAUAACUAAUCACAACGCUGACUGUCUCCCUCCCGUGAAGUCCUCAACAGGCACAUCAGAACCAGAUGGGGAGUCUCGAGGCCUCACCAGGAAGAAGACUGGUUGUCCGCCAGAGGCUGUCCAGUUCUCAGGCCCUUUGAAGUCUCAGGCCGGGGGUGGGUGGGGGUGGGGAGGGCGCGUCCAUCUCAAAGGCCUCAUUUGUGGAGCUGGAAAUACUAACAGCCCUGAAGUGUGACGGCACAGAGGCGGGGGACAAGGCUGCUCCCACGACAGACUCUUGGUCGGUGCCCCCACAUGUGGAGGGUGGUCAAGAAGCUGGUCCCUGGUGAUGGACAGCCACAGUGUGAGUCCUGGGACCACCCCCACUGGCCGUGGCACCACCCUGUGGUCCUGGGAGCCUUUGCUCCCUUUGGAGUUCUCCAUCAGGCGGAGAGAGUGGGAGGUGGAGUCCACAGAAGGCAUAAAGCUGGGCCGGGCCGGGGGGGGGGGGGGGGGGGGGGGUUGGUGUGUUCCAUCAUGUGCCUGGUUCCUGGGGGGUUUGGGCUUUUUGUCUUCUAUGGGGGGGGGGGGCAGUGCUCGUGCCAGAAACGGACCCGUGCGUUGCUAGGCGUUGCCCCGCGGGAGCCCUUCCCUGUGUCCACCAGAAGAUGGGACAGGAACGCCUGGCGGGUCUGGGGAGACAUCCAGGGUGCUCUGUACGCCAAGGACCGCUGCUCGCACCCGCACGGGUGUCUGAGCGCGAAGCAGAGGAAAGCACACGCAGAAUUCACUGAUGGUCAUGGGGUGGCUCCCAGGGCAGGGGGGAUGCCCCAAGGGUUCUGGUGCAGUUCAUGUUUGAUGGCUUGAUCUGGGUACUGCUUUCCUGGCUGUGUGGAGGUUGGGGCACCCACUCACCUGCACUUUUUAUGAUUUGUGUACUUCUUACGUAUGAGGUACUUCAAUAAAGAGCACAAACCAAAGGGGGUAAA